rnacentral:rRNA from 1 species
CACGCCGUAAACGAUGAUCACUAGUGGUAUGGGGCUUCGACCCCCUGUGUCACGAAGCUAACGCGUUAAGUGAUCCGCCUGGGGAGUACGAACGCAAGUUUAAAACUCAAAGGAAUUGACGGGGACCCGCACAAGCGGUGGAGGAUGUGGUUUAAUUCGAGGCUACGCGAAGAACCUUACCGAGGUUUGACAUCCCAGGAAGGCCGCCGAAAGGUGGCUGUGCCUUCGGGAACCUGGUGACAGGUGC